ensembl:lncRNA
GGCCUUAAUGUAUCUGGACCUAGGGGUGAUGGCCACAUUGUUGAUUUCGAAGUGGAUGUCAGUGUCAUAUUUCUGACUAAAAAACUUACAAAAAUAACAGCUGACCUGGAAACGACUGUAGGCUCCUCUGCCAAAAUAUCUGUUGAAACAUCAGGAUUUGUAAGCAUUAAGUAUCCAAUGAACAAAGUGCCAUACCGCUCAACACCGACGCUGAGUUGCACAUUUAAAGAAACAACAUUUGAUGAAACAGAUGGCUCUUGGAACUGGAACUUGAUAAAGGGAAGUGAGACAUUUGGUCUGAACACUGGAACCAGCAUAACCGUGACAUUCCCAGAGGCAUCACCUAACUGUACCACAGUCCAAAUUAAAAAGUUGUCAGGGAACUGGGCAGGAAUGUAUAAGUGUGGAUUUUCCAAAGGAUCCAUUGUGCACGCAGCCUCUGCAGAGUUGAAGGUAGCCCUGCUACCAGAUCAGAUCACCAUGACGAGUACCCC